UAAUACGUAGGGAGCAAGCGUUGUCCGGAUUUAUUGGGCGUAAAGCGCGCGUAGGCGGUUUGGUAAGUCGGGUGUGAAACCUCCAAGCUUAACUUGGAGCCGCCAUCCGAAACUGCCAUGACUUGAGUCUGGUAGGGGAACACGGAAUACCUGGUGUAGCGGUGAAAUGCUUAGAUAUCAGGUGGAACACCAGUGGCGAAGGCGGUGUUCUGGGCCAGUACUGACGCUGAUGCGCGAAAGCGUGGGGAGCGAACAGGAUUAGAUACCCUGGUAGUCCACGCUGUAAACGUUGCACACUAGGUGUGGGGACCUAUCGACGGUUUCCGUGCCGUAGCUAACGCAUUAAGUGUGCCGCCUGGGGAGUACGGUCGCAAGACUA
rnacentral:rRNA from 1 species